rnacentral:rRNA from 1 species
GACGAACGCUGGCGGCGUGCCUAAUACAUGCAAGUCGAACGCACUCUCGUUUCGAUUGUAGGAGUUUGCUCCUGCUUGCUAAACAUUUGAGUGAGUGGCGCACGGCCGUGUAAUACGUGGGUAACCUGCCCUAAAGUGCGGGUUAACAUUUGGAAAUACUUCCUAAUACCGCAUAAUACCUAACACCGCCUGUUGUAGGGUUGAUCGCUGCUUUCGGCUAUCAUUUUAGGAUGGUCCCGCGGUGCAUUAGUUAGUUGGAGAGGUAAAGGCGCACCAAGACGGGGAUGCGUAGACGACCUGAGAGGGUGAUCGGCGACAUGGGGACUGAGACAGGGCCAAGAGUCCUAAGGGAGGCAGCAGUAGGGAAUGUUACGCAAUGGACGAAAGUCUGAUGGAGCAAGGCCGAGUGAGUGAAGAAGGUUUUCGGAUCGUAAAAAUCGGUUGUUGGAGAAGAAUGUAUCUGAUAGGAAAUGAUCAGGUAGUGACGGUAACGAACCAGAAAGCAACGGCUAACUACGUG